rnacentral:misc_RNA from 1 species
AAUUGGUUAUUUUAUUUGUUGGAUUGAAAUUGUUUUAUUUCGUUUGUGGCUUUGUGCACAUAUAUAUAUUCACUAAUUUUCACUUCAGAUUGUGAGUUUUAUCAUGUGGUACCUCUCCAUUAGCAAUCGACGACUCUUGGCAAAACUCCGUUUAAUCUGGCUGACAUGGCAUUAAAAUAUAAUUAAUAAUAAAUAUAAAAUUACCAACAGCA